UCGAGAAUUUUUCACAAUGGGCGAAAGCCUGAUGGAGCGACGCCGCGUGGGGGAUGAAUGGCUUCGGCCCGUAAACCCCUGUCAUUUGUGACCAAGGCUUUUGGUUGAACAUUCCAAGAGAUUGAUGGUAGCGAAAGAGGAAGGGACGGCUAACUCUGUGCCAGCAGCCGCGGUAAUACAGAGGUCCCGAGCGUUGUUCGGAUUUACUGGGCGUAAAGGGUGCGUAGGCGGUCAGGUAAGUCUGAUGUGAAAUUCCUGGGCUUAACCCAGAAACUGCACUAGAUACUAUCUGGCUAGAGGAUUGGAGGGGGGAUUGGAAUUCUCGGUGUAGCAGUGAAAUGCGUAGAUAUCGAGAGGAACACCAGUGGCGAAGGCGAAUCCCUGGACAAUUCCUGACGCUGAGGCACGAAAGCUAGGGGAGCAAACAGG
rnacentral:rRNA from 1 species